rnacentral:rRNA from 1 species
GAAAAUAGCCCAAUACGUAUAGUACAGCAGUGGGGAAUAUUGGUCAAUAGCCUAACGGCUGAACCAGCAAUUUGGGAGAAUGAGGUUGGUAACAUGACAAGUGGGGCCAGAGAAUAGCUAUGCAAGAUGAGCUAUUUUCUGGCGGGGAAUCGGCUUAGUCGAAUAAAGUUCUAGAUAGAAUAGUGAUUAUGACAAUUUUCUAUCUAAAUGUCUUGACCAAGUCACGUGCCAGCAGUCGCGGUAAUACGUGGAAGACUAGUGUUAUUCAUCUUUAAUAGGUUUAAAGGGUACCUAGACGGUAUUUCUAGCCCCAAAAGGGUACGGAUUUACUAGAGUUUUAUGUGAGAGGCAAAUAUUAGUACUAUUGGUGUAGAGAUGAAAUUCUUUGAUACUACUAGGACUGGUGGCGGCGAAAGCAACCCUCUAAGUAUAAACUGACGUUGAGGGACGAAGGCUUGGGUAGCGAAUAGGAUUAGAUACCCUAGUAGUCCAGGCAGAAAAUUAUGAGUGCCAUAGACUAGAUUAAAUAAUUUUGGUCUAUAAAUGAAAGUGUAAGCAUUCCACCUCAAGAGUAAUGUGGCAACGCAGGAACUGAAAUCAUUAGACCGUUUCUGAAACCAGUAGUGAAGUAUGUUAUUUAAUUCGAUAACCCUCGAAAAACCUUACCACAAUUUGAAUGUAAUACAUGUAGUCUAAUAAUUGUCUAGUCAACAAUUACAUGU